CCCAGACUCCUACGGGAGGCAGCAGUGGGGAAUAUUGCACAAUGGGGGAAACCCUGAUGCAGCGACGCCGCGUGAGCGAAGAAGUAUUUCGGUAUGUAAAGCUCUAUCAGCAGGGAAUAAAAAAAUGACGGUACCUGAGUAAGAAGCACCGGCUAAAUACGUGCCAGCAGCCGCGGUAAUACGUAUGGUGCAAGCGUUAUCCGGAUUUACUGGGUGUAAAGGGAGCGUAGGCGGCGCGUUAAGUCUGAUGUGAAAACCCGAGGCUCAACCACGGGAGUGCAUUGGAAACUGGCGGGCUGGAGUGCCGGAGAGGUAAGCGGAAUUCCUAGUGUAGCGGUGAAAUGCGUAGAUAUUAGGAGGAACACCAGUGGCGAAGGCGGCUUACUGGACGGCAACUGACGCUGAGGCUCGAAAGCGUGGGGAGCAAACAGGAUUAGAUACCCGCGUAC
rnacentral:rRNA from 1 species